CAUCGGAACAUGUCCUGUAGUGGGGGAUAGCCCGGCGAAAGCCGGAUUAAUACCGCUUACGAUCUAUGGAUGAAAGCGGGGGACUUCGGGCCUCGCGCUAUAGGGUUGGCCGAUGGCUGAUAGCUAGUUGGUGGGGUAAAGGCCUACCAAGGCGACGAUCAGUAGCUGGUCUGAGAGGACGACCAGCCACACUGGGACUGAGACACGGCCCAGACUCCUACGGGAGGCAGCAGUGGGGAAUUUUGGACAAUGGGCGAAAGCCUGAUCCAGCAAUGCCGCGUGUGUGAAGAAGGCCUUCGGGUUGUAAAGCACUUUUGUCCGGAAAGAAAUCCUUGGCUCUAAUACAGUCGGGGGAUGACGGUACCGGAAGAAUAAGCACCGGCUAACUACGUGCCAGCAGCCGCGGUAAUACGUAGGGUGCAAGCGUUAAUCGGAAUUACUGGGCGUAAAGCGUGCGCAGGCGGUUUGCUAAGACCGAUGUGAAAUCCCCGGGCUCAACCUGGGAACUGCAUUGGUGACUGGCAGGCUAGAGUAUGGCAGAGGGGGGUAGAAUUCCACGUGUAGCAGUGAAAUGCGUAGAGAUGUGGAGGAAUACCGAUGGCGAAGGCAGCCCCCUGGGCCAAUACUGACGCUCAUGCACGAAAGCGUGGGGAGCAAACAGGAUUAGAUACCCUGGUAGUCCACGCCCUAAACGAUGUCAACUAGUUGUUGGGGAUUCAUUUCCUUAGUAACGUAGCUAACGCGUGAAGUUGACCGCCUGGGGAGUACGGUCGCAAGAUUAAAACUCAAAGGAAUUGACGGGGACCCGCACAAGCGGUGGAUGAUGUGGAUUAAUUCGAUGCAACGCGAAAAACCUUACCUACCCUUGACAUGGUCGGAAUCCUGAAGAGAUUCGGGAGUGCUCGAAAGAGAACCGGCGCACAGGUGC
rnacentral:rRNA from 1 species